rnacentral:lncRNA from 1 species
CUCACAGGCCCCUGUUACCCAACCACAGCUAUUUUCUUUUACCCAAGAUAACUUGAAAAGAUAAGUUAAAAUCACUUUAAAUUGACUAUAAAUAGAUCCAUUUUUCUAAUUAAAAUAUGUAAAUUAAAAGAGAUAGACUGUUUGGCAGAGUCACACAUAAAGAUAAGCACAGGAGAGGAAUUAAUCUCACGUGAUGGAAUUUUACUGGAAAUGAACUUCUAAACAGAAACCAACAUCACAGCAAUGUCUUUACGCCAAAAAAAAAAAAAAAAAAAAAAAAAGAUAAAA